rnacentral:rRNA from 1 species
CCUACGGGGGGCAGCAGUGGGGAAUAUUGGGCAAUGGAGGAAACUCUGACCCAGCAACGCCGCGUGAAUGAUGAAGGUCUUCGGAUUGUAACGUUCUUUUCUAAGGGAAGAAGAAAGUGACGGUACCUUAGGAAUAAGCCUCGGCUAACUACGUGCCAGCAGCCGCGGUAAUACGUAGGAGGCGAGCGUUAUCCGGAAUGACUGGGCGUAAAGGGUGCGUAGGUGGUUUGGCAAGUUAGUAGCGUAACUCCAAGGCUCAACCUUGGAACUACUACUAAAACUGUUGGACUUGAGUGCAGGAGGGGCAACCGGAAUUCCUAGUGUAGCGGUGGAAUGCUUAGAUAUUGCGCAGAACUCCGAUUGCGAAGGCAGCAUACCGGCGGCGAUCUGACGCUGAGGCACGAAAGCGUGGGUAUCGAACAGGAUUAGAUACCCGUGUAGUC